UAACUAUAACCCUAGCCCUAAAUCUAGCUCUAAUCAUAUCUAUUACCUUAAACUUAAACCUAACUCUAAUACUAAUCCUAGGAUAACCCUAACUUUAACCAUAACCCUAACCCUAUUCAUUACCAUAAACUUAACCUGAACCCUAAACCUAACAAUAUGCAUUAUUCUAACCCUAAAUAUAAUCCUAACCUAAUUUGAGCCCUAACCCUAAACCUUCACCUAAAAAAACCCUAACAGUUACUCUACCCUAAAAAUACCCCUAUCUCCAAAAAUGUCCCUAACACUCAACCUAAAACUGACACUAUACAUAGCCAUAAACCUAAACCUGAAAUUAUCACUAACCAUAACUCUAGACCUAACAUUAGCCUUAGCCUUAAACCUGGCCCUAAACCUAGCCUUAAUCCGAACCAAUACCCUAUCACUAGGCCUAACCCUAAACUGAACCCUCACCAUAGCCCUUAACCUAGCUUUAAUAUCAUACUGUACCCUAACCCUAAUUCUAAACCUAGCCCUAAACCAAUGCCUAGCCCUAAACCAAGGCCUAGCCCUAAUACUAAACCUAGUUCUAAUACUAGACCUAAUGUCACCCUAACCCUAAGACUAACUCUAACUCUUGAUCUAGCCCUAGCCCUAGUUCUAACAUUAUCCCUUCCCAUGACCAAAAGCCAAUACCAAACCCUAGCCCCAAACUUAGCCCUAGCCCUAAACCUAGAUGUAACCCUCACUCUAAAUCUAACCCUAACCUAAAACCUAAACCUGACCCUAACACUAGCCCUAAUCCUAAUGCUAAUUUGAAAACUAUCCUCACCGUAGCCAUAACAUUCAAGCAAAACUGAGCUACAGCUCUUAUCCUAACCUUAACCUAAACCAAACCCUAACACUAUGCCUAGCCCUUACCCUAGCCCUAAUUUGAGUCCUAAACCUAAUCGUACAACUAAUAUUUGCUGCGCCCCUCCCCUGACUCAGGCAAUGGCAAUGCCCUACUGAGGUGGAUGGCGCAAGGCAUCCAUCCUCUGGAGGAGCACAGUAUGUUUCUGGGAAUGGGCUGAUUUGUUUUUGUAUUCCUUUAAUAAGUAUAGUUGUAACUUCUCAUAUGACGAUUCAGUAUGAAGGAAAGAACAUGACUUUCCCAAUUAAUGC
rnacentral:lncRNA from 1 species